ACCAAGUAUACCACAAGACCAUUACCCUUAUACUCUUUAACCACAUCUUCCCAGAAUGUGUGAAAUAAUCAAAUGACUUUUUUUUCGAGUGGAAUCGCCGACGUCUACAAGCAGCUAUAACUGGUUUCGCAGCUGCGAGUUUCACAAUUCCAUGGUGGAUUUGUUCUGCAAAGAUGAUGAGUUUUGGCACCAAAGCAGCCUUUUCAAUCCCCAAAACCAAUCUUUUCCAGCUCCAAGCUGCUCUCUUUCACUCCUCUCCUGUUCUUGAACGCAAAAGACGCAAUUUUUGUGAUGCUAGUCAUAGAUCCAGAAAUAGAUCCAACAAUUAUUCUAGGAGGUCCAGGAGGUUAAAUGCAAAUGAAGCAUUACUGCGUAAUAUCGGUGCUUAUGCAGACCACCUAUUUCAGUCUCUACACUAUAUCAAGUUUGGCUUGUCCCUCUAACCAAUGCUAAUAGAUGGAGUAGCAAUGACAUAAAGGUUGGAGAGAGUUAUAGAUCCAACAAUUAUUCUAGGAGGUCCAGUAGGUUAAAUGCAAAGGAAGCGUUACUGCAUAAUAUCGGUUCUUAUGCAGAUCACCUAUUUCAGAGUUGGCAUGAUGGUUUUGAUGAGGAAGAUCCAUCUUCAAGUAGCGGCCCCUCAUGGUUUAGACAACAAUACUCUAAGGGAUCAAGAAAGGACAUGAAUGACAAUCGGAGAACCACGAGUUGGGGUAAAAGUACGUACCAUGAAGUAUUUACACUUUGGUGUAGGGGUUAGGGGAGAGAUUGACUGCCUCAGUUAUUAUUCUCCUUGUUUGAUUGAGUUUUUUGGGAGGAAGAGUUAUUUAGGGUAA